CAAUGAACUGAAGGCCAAACACAGCAAGCAUCCUCUGCUGGAAUUCUACAGACUUCAUGUAGGUGCUGCUUGAGGAGACACACAGAGAAUUGUAUCGCAGUGGACCUAUAUCCGGCAGUGAGCUGUUUCUUUUCAAAACAUUUUUCUGGCAAAGAACUGCCUGCAAUCCAUUUUACCAGAUGAGAAUUUGGAACAACAGUUGCAAGUAGCAACAACCUCAUUGCCAGCAGGCUUAGGAAGCCUCAUGAAGGAAAAUCGACCUCAACCAUCACACUAAAACAGCAGAUACUGCCAGACCUACUGAGUUCUCCAACAUUUCCUGCUUUGAUUAUUUACAUUUCUGGCACUGUUUUGCUAUUUUAUCAGCAGAUGUUGUGCAUAUUGCCUUGGAGUCCCACAGAAGUCCUUAGACCUUGGUGUUCAUAGUUUAAUGAUGCUCCUCUGCAAUUCUGGUGGAAAUCUGGACAGCUCAGUGAGAAGUUUCAGAAGAAAUGGUUGAAUGGGAACAUGGCAGUAAAUCUCCUUUUCAUCUCUACUACUGGGCCCUUUCAACUGAUAGGAUUUUGAACAUCCACUGUACUUUGCUUCUGAAUGAUGAGAGGAUGAUUUAUUCAAGUGAACUUGAAUUCAACUUUGCCUUUUUUUGCUAGGUGAACUGCUUGAGGAAUAUGUCCAUUUUAAUGGGUUUAUGUUUAUGCCAGUGAUUAAUAACUGUAACAAUGGCUCUCCUAUUUAUAAAAUAAACAUCAUAUGCAUUGCCUUGUUAACACUGCUUCACAUGAUCCCAGGACAUGAAAAAAAAUUAAAAUCACAAAAUCUUAGAGUAGAGAUGAUGCCACAUGGUUCAUUAAAAUUGUCCCAGUUAGUUAAAGGAGUGAUUGAAUUUAUUUUCCAUUCUUUCCUCAUUGUCCUUCAAUUCUUUUUCAAGUAUACAUCCAUUUUCAUUUUAAAGUUAUUCUUGAAUCUAUUUCCAGUUCCACUGUCAGGCAGUACAUCCAGAUCAGAACAACAUUCUGUGUAAAAUAAUUUUCAUUAUCUCUUUCUCAGAUCUCUUGCCACUUACCUUGAAUCCCUAACUUUUUGUUAUUGGUCCUCUUGCCAAUGGAAUCAGUUUACCCAUAUCUACUCUAUCAACACCAUCAUAGUUUCCAAAAGCCCGCACUAAAUCUUCCCUCAAUCUUCUCUGUUAUAAGGAGAAUAAUCCCAGUUACUCAAGCAAGUUACUGA